GGCCGAGCAGACAAUAUAUUAAAACUUGUGCUUUUCCUCAUUUGCCUGAGACGUCUCGCAUCAUACUAGGGUUUCUUCCUGGCUGCGCCGUGAAAAAGCUUCUAUUUAUUAAUGGGUGAUGUGGAGGAGUUCCGCUGUUUUAUAGGAGGCCUUUCGUGGUCCACAACUGAUAAUUCUUUGAAGGAUGCAUUUGAGAAGUUUGGCCGUCUUACUGAGGCCAAGGUGGUUGUUGACAAGUUUUCUGGUCGAUCUCGUGGAUUUGGUUUUGUUACAUAUGAUGAGAAAAGAGCAAUGGAAGAUGCCAUUGAUGAAAUGAAUGGAAUAAGCCUUGAUGGGCGGUCUAUUACUGUAGAUAGAGCUCAGCCACAAGGCCCAAGUAGAGAUCGUGAUGGAGGACGUGAUUAUGACCGUGAUAGAGAUCGUGAUCGCGGUCGUAGCUCUGGUGGAGGUCGAGGUUCUGGUGGAGACUGUUUCAAAUGUGGCAAACCGGGCCAUUUUGCUAGAGAAUGUCCUAGUGAUGGCGGUAGAGGAGAUAGGUAUGGUGGCAGGGAUGACAGGUAUGGCAGGGAUGACAAAUCUGGAGGUGGUGGAGGUAGCAAUCGUUAUGGAUCUGAUCGUGGUGGAGACCGUUAUAGUGGACGCAGUCGAGAUGGAGGUCGAGAUGGAGGUCGCGGUGGAUCAGGGAGUGACCGCUAUAAUCGCGAUCGCUCUGGUCCUUAUGAACGCCCAAGUGGUGGCAGCUAUCGCAGUUGAUGAGGCGGUCACUUCUGUCUCAGUGUUGUGGUUGGUGCUACUUUCAUCAGAAGCUGUACGGGGCAUGCUCCUUGGUGUCUGUUGGCCGUGAACAUGCUUUCUUUUUUACUUAGGAUUUGCUGACGUGCUGUCCUUUUGCAAGUGUGGAUCUUUUACUGGAUGAUCUAUUGUGUUUCUCAGAUGUUCUUUUGCUGAUUGCAUCAACUGCUGCUUAAUAGUUACUUGGCGUGAAACUGAUCUUGGUACAUUAGUUUACACCUGUUGCUACUAAAUUCGAGUUGAUUGGCUGUCAUUCUCCAUUCUGGUUCUUCUUUGGUGCUUUGUGGUCCUUAUCUUGAUGCCAUAGAACCACUUGUGACAGUAUUGAAAGGUCAAAAUCAAUAUUUGAGCAAAUAUGCUUGUGGUCCUUCAUGGGAACUGCGUGAGAUUAUUGGUUGUCCAUGAAACUGCAGACUAAUAACAACAAGAAAAUGGCUUUGCAUGUGUUCACUAAAGUUGCCAUUACCGGGAAAGCAGUUUUUUUAUUUACUCUCGAAGCUAUAGAAAUUUGGCUGCACUUGGGCUUUUAGAUUUUGUUCGUUAUUAGUGCUCUCUGGGUUACUUGAUGGCUAGUCUUGCACUUGUUGGAAUUUGGUUGUUUGCGUACCUGGGGCCUUUCAUCUUAGAUACAGUUUGGUUCCUUGUUCCUUUUUUUGAUUGGACUGCUCCUGUCCUGUAUACGCAUUGCUGAAACACAAAUUGAAGUCUUUUACUGCUCUAUAGCAUUUUCUGUGGUACAGAUGCUCUAGUUCUCCAUUGUUUC